UUCCGGUUGAUCCUGCCGGACCCGACUGCUAUCGGAUUGAGAUUUAGCCAUGCGAGUCGAACGUCCCCCUGUUGCGGGGGGCGUGGCGUACGGCUCAGUAACACGUAGUCAACCUGCCCUAGAGACAAGGACAACCCCGGGAAACUGGGAUUAAUCCUUGAUAGGUCAUCUCAUCUGGAAGGAGAGAUGGCUUAAAGGGGUACGCGGGCUUCUUCUGCGUAUUCGCUCUAGGAUGGGACUGCGUCCGAUCAGGCUGUUGGCGGGGUAAUGGCCCACCAAACCUGUAACCGGUACGGGCCUUGAGAGAGGUGGCCCGGAGAUGGACACUGAGAGAAGGGUCCAGGUCCUACGGGGCGCAGCAGGCGCGAAACCUUCGCAAUGCGCGAAAGCGUGACGAGGUUAAUCCGAGUGACUCCCGCUGAGGGGGUCUUUUGUCAGCUGUAAAUAGGCAGGCGAAUAAGGGGAGGGCAAGCCUGGUGUCAGCCGCCGCGGUAAUACCAGCUCCUCGAGUGGUCGGGGCGAUUAUUGGGCCUAAAGCAUCCGUAGCCGGUUCCGUAGGUCCUCUGUUAAAUCCAACCGCUCAACGGUUGACCUGCAGAGGAUACCGCGGGACUAGGAGGCGGGAGAGGCGGACGGUAUUCCGCGUGUAGGGGUAAAAUCCUUUGAUCCGCGGAGGACCACCAGUGGCGAAGGCGGUUCGCCAGAACGCGCUCGACGGUGAGGGAUGAAAGCUGGGGGAGCGAACCGGAUUAGAUACCCGGGUAGUCCCAGCCGUAAACGAUGCUAGCUAGAUGAUUCAUUCGCAAGUCGCGAAUGAAGUGUCGCAGGAAGCCGUUAAGCUAGCCGCCUGGGGAG
rnacentral:rRNA from 1 species